rnacentral:rRNA from 1 species
GAUGAACGCUAGCGACAGGCCUAACACAUGCAAGUCGAGGGGCAGCACAAGGAGUAAUCUGAGGUGGCGACCGGCGCACGGGUGAGUAACACGUAUGCAACCUACCUGUAAGAGGGGAAUAACCCGGAGAAAUUCGGACUAAUACCGCAUAAUACUGAUUAUCUGCAUGGAUUGAUCAGUUAAACAUUUAUGGCUUACAGAUGGGCAUGCGUAUGAUUAGAUAGUUGGUAGGGUAACGGCCUACCAAGUCAACGAUCAUUAGGGGUUCUGAGAGGAAGGUCCCCCACACUGGUACUGAGACACGGACCAGACUCCUACGGGAGGCAGCAGUGAGGAAUAUUGGUCAAUGGGCGAGAGCCUGAACCAGCCAAGUCGCGUGAAGGAAGAAGGUUCUAUGGAUUGUAAACUUCUUUUGUAAGGGAAUAAAAAGAGUUACGUGUAACUUAUUGUAUGUACUUUACGAAUAAGGAUCGGCUAACUCCGUG